rnacentral:misc_RNA from 1 species
GUAGGUGAACCUGCGGAGGGAUCAUUAACACGUAUCCACGUACCACUAGUAAACCAUAUCUGGUGACCAAAGGUUUCGACAACCCAGCGCAUGCGGAUUCACAAACAGUAGGACGGGAAACCGUCGUCCCUGCUGGAUAGAAACCUUGUCGUGAAAUGACACUAAAAAUUUCCCGGCCUCGCGCCGCAGUUUGCUACUGUUUUGUACCUGUUGUACCUUUUUACCAUUUGUAACCUUUGUCUGAAACUAA